UACGGGGGGGGCAAGCGUUGUUCGGAAUUACUGGGCGUAAAGGGCUCGUAGGCGGCCAACUAAGUCAGACGUGAAAUCCCUCGGCUUAACCGGGGAACUGCGUCUGAUACUGGAUGGCUUGAGUUCGGGAGAGGGAUGCGGAAUUCCAGGUGUAGCGGUGAAAUGCGUAGAGAUCGGGAGGAAGGCCGGUGGCGAAGGCGGCGCUCUGGAACGUUUCUGACACUGAGGCUCGAAAGCGUGGGGAGCAAACAGG
rnacentral:rRNA from 1 species